UUUAAUAUAAACUUCAUGAGUUCUGAGAUCUUUAAAGAGAGGGAAGUCAGGGAAGAAAUUCAUUUAAUUACCGAAGAUACUCUUUCAACUAUAAUGUUCUAAAAUUGAAAAAACAGCUAACAUAAUGGACCCUUUAAGCUGUAAGUGGUUUCUAUUAAAAGUCAUGGGCUUCCUCGCUUAACCUCUGCUCAUUUCAUCUUAUUACUUUAGUAAUUUUCUCCCAUCCACUGGAGCGUGUGAGUUUAUCUUUCCUUUUACUGGGUUUACUGAAAGCAUGAGCGAUAAUCUCAAUGACCUAUAAUUUAAACAAGAGGGGAAUUAUGACUUUUAACAAAAAGGGUAACGUGUUGACCUGAGGGAGGCUGUUGACACUCUCCAUUGUUUACCAGGACUUCCCAACCUCCAACCUCUGCCUCACUUUAUACGAGUCUGGCAAACUGCAAUCUAAUGUCAGAACUGGGCCAACAGAAAGAAAAAUGGGCAAUCCAACAGCUUUCUGAGGAGAAAAUCAUAUGAGCACUUCAGUGAAAACUUCAGCUUGAAUCAUGUCACUUGGGGUAAUCUGGAUACCAAGAAGCAAACAAAACAGACUGAAUAAAAGCAGCCUGAAGUUCAUCAGGUUUACUUUGCCUCCA